CCAUAAACCUACAGGCCCAAAAUAAGAUGCACCCGCAUCUCUCCUCCCUCUCCUAGUAUGUAACCCUAAGUCCCUCAGCCGCCUCUCUCCCGUAGUCUCGCAGCAGCCGCCUCUCUCGGUCUCUCCCUCAACCCUAUCGCGUGCGCCGCCGUCUCUCCCGCCCUCGACUCUCCAGCAGCCUGUGUAGCCAUUCGCGAGCAAGGUGUAGGUAACCUGGCGCGCCUCCCCCUGCUGCCGCCCUCUGCUUCGUACCUCCUUGUGGCGACUGCCAAGCUCGAGCUCCUCGGUGGCCUCCUGCUCCACAUGCUUCCCCAGAAACGGGGGGUUGACGCUGGCGACGUCUACGACUAACACCGCGCCGCCAACCCAGCCCAGGACAAGGACAAGAGGAGGUUGCGGAUAUGGCUGGCAGGGCGCCCGAGAUCGAUGAGGAACUCCACAUCCGGCAGAUUACCAUCUAUGGCGCAAGACCAUGAGGCGCCUCUUCCGCUGCAGCGUCCUUUGUGCUCCGUGGGUUGAGGAUUUGAUAUGUAGUUACUGCCUCGAUUAGUUAUGUGAUCCGUGGGUUGUUGCAAUCGGUAGCUAUGUGAGCCAUAUUUGUGCUUCAUUUUUAUCCUCCUGUACAUGCCAUUGUUACAGUAUUUGUGCUGCUACAUGCUAAUAGGAUCCCAUCUAACCAUGGUGAUUAAUUGGGCUUGCAGUUCUGUUUCUCAUUUGUUAGUUUUCGUCUUUUAUUUUGUGAGCCAUAAGUUUAUUUCUCCUACAUAUUUCCCGUCUGUGCAGAUCAGAGAGUUUAUAUUUAUGUGGAUGGAUCCUUUAUGUUUCUACUGAUUUCUUAACUUUGUUGAUUAUUUAGUCUAGCUCUUGCUGUUCAGAGAUUAUAUCUCAGGCACUAGGUGUAUCUGCAAUUUGUUUAUUAGUUAUAAAAUGCAUUUGAUAAUUGGUUCAGUUUUGGUCUAAAUUUAGCAUUUUACUUUUUAGGCAACGGCACCAAAACAAAAAUAUAAUAUAUAGUUGUUUAAAAGUAUGAUCUGUCGUCUACAGUUUAGAGGAGCAGCACGAGAGGUCCUUUGUUUAUCGAUUUCUAGCAGCAGUUUCAGCUUCAGUUCUUGUGCACAAGCAGGUGGGCACAUAAGCAGCGUGGCUCUUAUCUCAGUGCCUCAUGUCCCCUUGCUGCCCCAGAUUGACCAUGUGUGUAGCACCAUACCCAGAGGUACUAACGGCAAGGUUGGUGGCGGCAUAAUUCUAGAUGAGACUGUAAAUAGAGAUCUAGCGGAAGUGACAACAGUGGCAGUAAAGCAAUAACCUUGCUUCUCUAGGUUUUCUGUGAGUAAGCUCUUGCCCAUUACUUGAUGUAUAACAAAUGUAUAAUUUACUUUUCUGCUAAUUUCUUUCUAGUUAAUGUUUUUCCCUUUUUUGUCUUUUUGUUCAGAUGACAUCAGAUAUAGUAGUGAAGUUGAAAUUCUUAUCCUGAUCAUACAAGAAAGAAAAUCCAUACUUGUUGCCCUCUAGCACAUCUGUUCCAGCAUUUGUUCAAUGAUCACAUGAUCUACAGAUGCCAUAUGGGAGAACAAAAUAAUGGCAGAAGCAAAGUAUUGAUACUAAUCCUACCCGAAACUUGUAGAUGGCUAUGGUGCAGAAUUAACUACCUGCUGUUUUGUUGUAGCCUAGGAGUAGUUGGCCUACAUUGAGCUGAGAGGAAAGGAAGUAGCUAUGAGGUAGCCAUUUAUUCUAUUAAGCAACCGUCACAUUUUCAUAGUUCGGGUGCAUACUCUGUAAUCACAUACAGUUUAACAAUGUUAUGUAUUGUGAUCAUGAGGACUUACCAGAGUCAACUAUGUGUACUGGUGUGAAAAUGUACCAUAUUGUGAUACUGUAAAGCGUGAACUAUGAAAUGUACCAUAUUGUGAAA